rnacentral:rRNA from 1 species
CCUACGGGUGGCUGCAGUGGGGAAUAUUGCACAAUGGGGGAAACCCUGAUGCAGCCACGCCGCGUGAGCGAAGAAGUAUUUCGGUAUGUUAAGCUCUUUCAGCAGGGGAGAAAAUGACGGUACCUGAGUCAGAAGCUCCGGCUAAAUACGUGCCAGCAGCCGCGGUAAUACGUAUGGAGCACGCGUUAUCCGGAUUUACUGGGCGUAAAGGGAGCGUAGGCGGCAUGCCAAGUCUGAUGUGAACUACCGGGGCUCAACCCCGGGGGUGCAUUGGAAACUGGCAGGCUGGAGUGCCGGAGAGGCAGGCGGAAUUCGUAGUGUAGCGGUGAAAUGCGUAGAUAUUAGGAGGAACACCAGUGGCGAAGGCGGCCUGCUGGACGGUGACUGACGCUGAGGCUCGAAAGCGUGGGGAGCAAACAGGAUUAGAUACCCUGGUAGUC